UGGGGAAUAUUGCGCAAUGGGCGAAAGCCUGACGCAGCGACGCCGCGUGGGGGAGGAAGGCCCCAGGGUUGUAAACCCCUGUCAGGUGGGACAAACCCCGGUACGUCGAGCAGGCGUACCGACUGACGGUACCACCAGAGGAAGCUCCGGCUAACUCCGUGCCAGCAGCCGCGGUAAUACGUAGGAGACGAACGUUAUCCGGAGUUACUGGGCGUAAAGGGCGUGCAGGCGGCUGAUUAAGUCUGUUGUGAAACACUCCGGCUCAACCGGGGAAGGGCGAUAGAUACUGGUCAGCUCGAGGGCGGUAGAGGCGUGUGGAAUUCCGGGUGUAGUGGUGAAAUGCGUAGAUAUCCGGAGGAACACCAGUGGCGAAGGCGACACGCUGGGCCGCACCUGACGCUAAGACGCGACAGCAUGGGGAGCGA
rnacentral:rRNA from 1 species